rnacentral:lncRNA from 1 species
AAAGUUGGAGAGACAGCCAAGGGAGUUUGACAGGGAGUUGUGGAGAUACCAAAAAGACAUGAUGUCUCUAGAAGCAAAAUAAGUGGGCAGCUAAUAAAGGUUCUGGCCUGAAGAAAGCCAGAAUGGGAGAGAGGAAAACUGAGGGUUGAGUUGGAAGCAGGAGUGGCCCAAAUUACAAUCACUCCCAAUGACCCACUAAGAGACUUUGUGCUUCCCUUUCCCAAAACUCUUGGCUCUGCUGGGUUGGAGAUCCUGGUCUCCAGAGGAAGUACACUCUUGUCGGGAGACUCAGCAUGGGCCCUUUAAACUGCAAGCUAAGACUGCUGGCAAGACACUCUGGACUCUUGUGUCCAGAGGGCAGUGGGUGAGAAAAGGAGUCACUAUCUUGACGGUAGUAUCAGCAGGAGGAGUUUCCCCUUGAGAAGCCCUUGGGAACCAUGACAGAACUGCUCCCCAAAUACGUGUGGAGAAAUGGAUCUGUGUGGUGCAAGGGGUAGACUGUGGUAGCAAUGGAAGUGAUCUCCUUCAAGAGAAGCUGAUGUGGAAGCGAAACACAGGCUCCAACUGCCACCCCACUGGACCCACUGUGGCAUUCAUACUUCCUCCAGGAUGCUCCCAGACGGUGUUGGCCUUAUAUCUCCAUCUGUAGGUUCUCUCCAUCUACCCCUGUGUGCUCUCCAUUUUUCCGUCAUGGAAUUUUCCCUAAUAAAUCUCUCACGCAUCUAUCCCAUCUUGGUAUCCGCUUCUUGGAGAACCCAAACUGACACAGUCUGCAAUAAACAUUUUGC